UCAGUGCCAGUUCGUCUGUUUUUCCCGCUGUUUAGUGCUCCUGGUGUUUUGAUCCCAGCAAGUUCAUCCGGCCUCAUCUUUGCCAUUUCCCUACCGGAUAUGUUUGCGUCUUCCUCUGACUGCUUACCUGUCUACUGAAACCUGUUUGUCAAACCAGAGGAUCUUUUUUUCUCAUUCCCUCAAAGUCAUUCCUCAUGCCGUCUGGCAAACUCCAAGUGGGCUGUCAUAAGCCUGCUACUUAAAGUGGCUUCCGUUUAGGCGGACUCCGAUCAAGUCGAGUUCUACAGAUCUCAAGGAUAAUCAAAGAAAAGCGGAUGCUCCUGACCACAAAAGUUAAAGACCGGGCAGGAUACCCAAAGCUGGUGGUUAUCUCAGAACUACAUACUCACCGAGCUCUGAACAACAAAGUGAGCCUCCCAAAGCCCAGCAUCUCCAUGAACCCUGUGGAGGAGGUUAACUGGGGUCAGGAUGUCGGGAUCCCUUGUUCAGACUCAGCUGAGCUUUUAGGUGGAACAUUCAUUCUGAAGAAGACUUCAGGCUCAUUCAGAAAGACUCAAACGUCAUGUUCCAACUCUGCUGCAUUCAGUGUCCCUAAAGCGAAAGUUGAUAAUGAAGGAUCAUAUUAGUGUCAGUAUGAGAAAAGCAGGUUUUUCAAACAGCAAAAGUAAUGUGAUGUUUUGAUUUUUUUUAACAUGUAAGUCCAGCUUGUUUCUUUGAAAACUAUUUCAGUGUUUUUCAAGUAAGGCCUCUCUUUAAACCUACACUUAGCUUCUUGUACUAACAAAAUAGUAUCAAAUAGUUAAAGAAUAGUUUCACUUUUGGAAAGUAAACCUUUCACUUUCUUAGAGUUAGAGGAGAAAAUUGAUUCCGCUCGGACUUCUUUAAGGUAAAGAUGAAGCCAGUGCCAGCUGUUGGUUAGCUUUGCAGAAAGGGUUUUGUUUCCUUUGGUUCCUUUGCACAGAGCCAGGGUACCGUAGCAGAUUUUUCCCAUUUCCGGUAUUUGUGCUAAGCUAAGCUAACCUGCUGCCGGUCCCAGCUUCGUAUUAACCGUACAGACAUGAGAGUGAUAUUCCAAUCUAACUCUCAAGAAAGCCAAAAAGCGUAUUUUCCCAAAAUGCUGAACUAUUCCUUCCAGUGUUAUUGACAACAUAAUUAUUUGAUGCAACGAUCAGUGUGUGUAAUUUUUAAUGAGAAUAAAAUACAACAAAAAUAUCAUAAAACACAACACAUUAUAGAAUACAACAAACCAUCGUUCCGCACCUACACACACAGCAUGACCAUGGGGUGACGAAAGCCGGAUGGUCAUAGACAACCAUUAAUAAUGACCAAACUGAGAUGGGUGGUGUAAUAAUAACCCAGUAAUUUAAAGCUGAGGAAAAGGCAGCCACCUUGACUCUUCCUUUCUAUUUCUGUCCCUGGGUCCCCUUGUUCACUGACACACUUUAUAUUUGCAGUUACCCUUCUGAUGACUCAAGGUUGACCAUCUGCCAGUCGAUGAUGUCUUAAUCCAUCCACCGUCAAGCCAAGUCUGUUGCGCUUACCAUAAGCAGAUAAUGCAGUCCAUUACAGCAAAACCACAAAGCCUAGAAAUUACAAGAGAGUUGGACCAGUGCCUCUGUUUCACUGUUUCAGUAAAUCUUCGAUACCGACACCACCGACAAAAUGUUUAACUGAAUAACACACAAAAACUUAACACAAACAAUAACCAAGAUAUAAGAUAAUCUGGUGUUUUUUUCUCAGCACACUGUUACAAGCAGAACUGGGAGAGACCAAAUUGAGGCAACUGUUGUCAGCCAAUCACUUGUGAGCCAGUUCACUGUUUGAGCCAAUGAUGUGAAAGCAGGUUUACAAUAUGACGCCUUGGCAGCCACAAAUAGAUAUGACACAGGCUCCUUGUAAUGUCAGCACGCUAGCUUCACACACACGCACACAC